GGUAUCCUAUAGCAAGUAAGAACAUAACAUUACAACUGUUCACACGUGGGAGAUGGAGGAACUGCAUUAAGAGCCCAUCAGAUAGGAAAACUUGGUGUGAGAACCAUAUGGAAGGGAAGAAGUAUCCCAGGCCCAAGAUACAAGUUUAUGGAUUGCAAGACAGGAGGCCAAACACCAAAACAGCAUCUAACAAAAGUGCUUUUUCUGUAGGAAGAGGCAAUACAACAUUUUGCCUCAGAAGAAUCUUAUUGGCCCUUCCUGGAUACUGGGUUGUAGGAAGAACUGAUGAAUGCUCCCUGCUGUGAGAGGACGACUCUCGCAUCAAAGAGAG